CUCAUUAUUCAAUCUGUCCACUACUGGGAAUGACUAGGUUAUUAUCUCAUUAUUCAAUCUGUCCACUACUGGGAACGACUAGGUUAUUAUCUCAUUAUUCAAUCUGUCCACUACUGAGAAUGACUAGGUUAUUAUCUCAUUAUUCAAUCUGUCCACUACUGGGAAUGACUAGGUUAUUAUCUCAUUAUUCAAUCUGUCCACUACUGGGAAUGACUAGGUUAUUAUCUCAUUAUUCAAUCUGUCCACUACUGGGAAUGACUAGGUUAUUAUCUCAUUAUUCAAUCUGUCCACUACUGGGAAUGACUAGGUUAUUAUCUCAUUAUUCAAUCUGUCCACUACUGGGAAUGACUAGGUUAUUAUCUCAUUAUUCAAUCUGUCCACUACUGGGAAUGACUAGGUUAUUAUCUCAUUAUUCAAUCUGUCCACUACUGGGAAUGACUAGGUUAUUAUCUCAUUAUUCAAUCUGUCCACUACUGGGAAUGACUAGGUUAUUAUCUCAUUACUGGGAAUGACUAAGUUAUUAUCUCAUUAUUCAAUCUGUCCACUACUGGGAAUGACUAGGUUAUUAUCUCAUUAUUCAAUCUGUCCACUACUGGGAACGACUAGGUUAUUAUCUCAUUAUUCAAUCUGUCCACUACUGAGAAUGACUAGGUUAUUAUCUCAUUAUUCAAUCUGUCCACUACUGGGAAUGACUAGGUUAUUAUCUCAUUAUUCAAUCUGUCCACUACUGAGAAUGACUAGGUUAUUAUCUCAUUAUUCAAUCUGUCCACUACUGGGAAUGACUAGGUUAUUAUCUCAUUAUUCAAUCUGUCCACUACUGGGAAUGACUAGGUUAUUAUCUCAUUAUUCAAUCUGUCCACUACUGAGAAUGACUAGGUUAUUAUCUCAUUAUUCAAUCUGUCCACUACUGGGAAUGACUAGGUUAUUAUCUCAUUAUUCAAUCUGUCCACUACUGGGAACGACUAGGUUAUUAUCUCAUUAUUCAAUCUGUCCACUACUGGGAACGACUAGGUUAUUAUCUCAUUAUUCAAUCUGUCCACUACUGGGAACGACUA